UGGCAAUGUUGUGUAACACUUUGUUACUGGU
rnacentral:piRNA from 1 species